rnacentral:rRNA from 1 species
CCUACGGGCGGCAGCAGUGAGGAAUAUUGGUCAAUGGGAGAGAUCCUGAACCAGCCAAGCCGCGUGAGGGAAGACGGCCCUAUGGGUUGUAAACCUCUUUUGUCGGAGAAAAAAACCCGGGACGUGUCCCGGACUGCGUGUAUCCGGAGAAAAAGCAUCGGCUACCUCCGUGCCAGCAGCCACGGUAAUACGGAGGAUGCGCGCGUUCUCCGGAUUUAGUGGGUUAACAGGGUGCGUAGGCGGUCCGUUAAGUCAGCGGGAAAUUUGCGGGGCUCAACCCCGUCGAGCCGUUGAAACUGGCAGACUUGAGUUGGCGAGAAGUACGCGGAAUGCGCGGUGUAGCGGUGAAAUGCAUAGAUAUCGCGCAGAACUCCGAUUGCGAAGGCAGCGUACCGGCGCCAGACUGACGCUGAGGCACGAAAGCGUGGGGAUCGAACAGGAUUAGAUACCCUUGUAGUC